ensembl:lncRNA
GAGGGCAGAUCCUGUCUUUACAUCCUACUGGCCUUUCUUUCUGUGAUGGCAUAAACAAAAUGGGGAAGAGAUGCUGAUAUCAACUAUCUGGAUUUCUGUGAGGCUUUUAAUGCUGUUGCCCACAACAUCCUUCUCUCCAAAUUGCAAAGAUAUGGAUUCGAUGGCUGGAUACCCUUUGAUGAAUGAGGAAAAGGAGUCAAUGCCUGGAGGCAGGUUUCCCUUUGUUACGUUUUGAAGUGACAUCCUGCUGCUUAAGAGAAAGCCUGGGUUACAAAAGCAAGAUGUCUUCCCUUCUGGUCCAGUUUACAGCAUGUAUCGUCCAGUUGAGUAGGUAAAGAAAAUCCUUGUCAGGAAAGCAGAUCUGAGAACUAAAUCCCAUGUCAGUAAACAGCCCUUUCUAAUGGUCCAUCUUAAACGAAAGGCUAAGCGCUGUGACUCAGCCCCAUCCAAGAGAGGCUCCAAGUGUUUGUUAGAAUAAAUAAGAGCAUGGAGGCCAGCAGAUCAGCCCCAGUCAGAGUCCACAGGGCUUCACUUCAGGGCAAGGUCUCUUUAGUAUUUCUACAAAUGACCAGGGCAAAGGACUUGAACACGUAUUAAGUAUGUGUAUUAAGCCACACUGGACAUUAAGACAAGAUCCUUCACCAGAGGGUGGUUGGGUACCAGAACAAGAGCCCUGGGACUACAGUCACAGGCCCGGACUGAUGGAGUUGGAGAAGCAUUUGGACACCGCCCUUGGAGACAGCAUUUGAAGUUCAGGAGGUCUUGCGCAGAGCUACAAGUUUCAGGUCCCUUCCAACCCCGGCUGCAUUCCCUGCAGGAAAAAAAAAAAUAAAGGUUUGUUAAACCUGUAAAAGCUCUGUACCUCAGAGACAACGUGACCAAAGACAGCAGUGGAAAUAUGGGAGUAGUGAUGUAACAAAUGCCCAAAUGGGUUAAUGAUGCAGAUGAGAAAAUUGCCAACUGGUGAAAUCUGAAGCGUAGCUUUACAAACACUUCUCUACGGUGUUGCUCAGGAUUACGUUCACGUGUCUUAUAAACGUGGAAGACUUCCAGUAAGAUUUUAGUUACAUCUAGUUAAGGAAACAAGUACUCUGUGAAGACUUUGGUGAUGAAAUUCACUUUACGUUCUUAAUUUAAAAUCCUGGAAGUUGGACUACAUUCAUUUUUAUUUCUUCUGAUGGUAGAACUGUGAAUGUUUUUAUUGUACGCUGUUACAGAUAUGUUUUCACAGUCAUCAUCAGCGUCAGAUGUGAAAAGGAAAGAGAUCUGAAUGUGCAGAGUGAGGUGAGAGAUCCUGCUGAAGGUAUGCGGUACACCGUAACGUUCUCCAGGAGAAGCAGCAGGUUGUAUCUUAUGUAGGUCUCCACUGAAUUAACCCCACUCAAAGCAAUCUAAACCAAACAAAUGAACAAAACCACAAACAGCUCCAAUAACUCGUACACAUAGCACCUCUAGGAGCAGUGUUUGAGCAAAAUGGAUAUUUUAUAUCCCAAGGGAUAUAAAAUCACGAAAUCAUCAGUUGUCGAUACCACUACUAUGUGAAAUCCACAUAAAUGAGUACUUUUGUUUUAUUUUUUAAUUAUUAUUAUUUUUUUUUUUUUUUUUAAGAAAAAUAAGUCUUGCUGGAACAAACAUGCUGACCUUCACUGCUCUGGGGGACUACAAACCAAAGUAAAACAAGGGGCUGGCAAAGACGUGGUGCUCCCUAGUCUUAAUGCAAUAGAACACAGUGGAACCCACUGGAGUAGUGUGAAAUUCAGAAGCGUGUGGUCGGGCUGGAACAUUGUGUGCUGGCUGGCAGAUGUUUGGAAAGGUGCUAAAAUGUAACUUAACAUCCAUAGAAUUUGCUGUUAAACACUUGCAAGAUACAAAGUGACAGCCAGCUGGAUGAAUAGGAGAAUGUAUUCAAACACCUAGGGUUAACAGACCCAGGACAGUGCAUCUGGCUUGAACAGGGCACUGAGAGUAAGCUCAGACAAUGUUUAUACAUGCUUUUAGUAUUCAAAUUAAUUUCUGCGGGGACACGACUUAGUUAAGGUGAGCUAUACAAAAUUCAUCUUAUUUCCCUUCACAUUCCAUUCCAUAUUUAAUGCAUGUUACAAGAGAGAUACUUCACUCUGCUUCAUUACUUUAAUCACUGUCCUGUCCUACUGUAGUUCAACAACGCGUGCAAGUGUACUCUUCUUGUUAGAGGCACGGUCUAGAGAAGACGGCCAGGGAGCUGAACAGCAUUUCUAUUUCAGCUGCUGAAGCGUCCAGUAACUUUGGAUGUCACCUAAACCUUCAGAUGAAAUCCUUCCAGGCAUUCUCGUGAGCACCAGUAAAUAGCAGUAUACCAUAACUACCAUUGCUAAUGUGGGGCAAGCACUCCAAAGUGCACUUAGAGAAGAAUGUAUUCAAAUAUGGCAUAUAUGAAAAGUUUAUUUUAAUAUUUUAGACAGCUAGAUGAAAUGCUGGGGUCUUAGUGCAUUUUGCACUAAGGCAGUCCAGGCUUCUGAAAAUCUUAGGGAAAUAUUUGGAAAUGAAUUUUAUCUUCACAACUGUGAUACACUUACAAGGCGGGGAUGUUUCACCCUUCUCAACAAGGUACCUGCAUUGAUGAUGGUCUGUAAAUGACUCUAGAACUGACAAAAGUCUGCAAACAUUUUCUUGGGUUCUGAUUUUUAGUUUUAUUUGUUUUAACAGUGAGAUAAAAAAAAACAAACAAACAAACAAACAAAAAAAACAUUGUCCAUGUCCUUGCUCUGUGGGUUUGGGAUGUAUUGUGUUUGUUUGUUUCUUCUUCUUCUUCUUCUUCUUCUUUUUUUUUUUUCCUUGGAAGUAAAACAGGAUAGGAUAUUGGUAAUAAGGGCAAGUGGAUUUAUUGCUGAGCAAGUUGUAUGCUGUUUGGCAGAAAAUUCCUGAACUGGUCGGUGUUGGUGGUAGUUGGUGCUGCCUCCCAAUGUUUUCUGAGUCUUUUAUUUAGUUUGGAGUUCUGGGAAGUAUUUGUUGGCUUAAUCCAUUUACGCUUUUGAUAGGUAAGUGCAUUCCAUGAGUGAUGAUAGAUUAUUGCUAAGAAAAGAUAAACAGAAGAAUGGAUGUUUUAUUUUACUAUGUAUCCUGGGAAAAAGUUGUUCUUUCUUUCAGAUUAUAACCCUGCCCUAUUUACAACCUAUUUACAGGACCAGACUUUUUAAUAUAUUUACUUAUUUAUUUCUGUAUUUAUUGUAAUUAAAGCCAAAGUAAACAAUACUUUUUCAGUCUUCUGUAUUUACUGAGUACCUUCCCAAAAGUGCUAAUAAGGACUACUGUUUCGAACAAGAACAAACGAGAAGGAAAUCUGUCAGUUUAAAUUCAGCUGAUGUCAGGAAUUCCACAUGCCUAUGCGUUUAUUUUCAUCCAUCUGGUUAUCAUUGCAGAGGAUUCCCUGAAGGGAACCUUUUCCUUGCAGCAGAUGAGAGCCAUUUCUGCUAUUGCUACAGCCUGUUUUGGCAUCGCCCAUCAGUGGGAGCACCAUACGUUCUGUGUCCAUCAUUGUUGCCUCCAUAGCCUCAGUUUAGACCACAGUUACACUGAGAAAGAACAUAGCCAAGGACAGAACAAAAUGAAUUCAGCAAACACACUGCAAGGCAGAGCCAUUAGAUGAGCAUUUCCAACCAUGGUGUGUAAAUGAGUUACAAAACACAAGCAGCUCUAUAAAACAAGAACAUCCUGAGUUGACAAAUAAAUGGUAUUCUUCCUAGAUCAGGUAUCAACUUCUUUCACCCUUCUCCCUCAAUAAUGGUAUCUUGAAGUUCAGAAGAGAUUUUUGUGUAUGAGCAGAGAUGGGAGGUGUCACUGUGAAGAAGUCCUUAGAUAUUUAUUUAUUUAUUUUAAAAUUACAUUUGUGGGCAUCUACAGCUCAGGAAGGAACACCUGAUGUGUACGUGCUGUUAAAAGAUACACUGAAAUUGAAGAAAUGGGUUCCGCACAAGCACUGUUUGUGAAGUGAGAUCACCUGUGGGGCAGCUCUGCCUGAAGGAACGGGCGGCACCACCUGCGAGAGGUGCGGUGACCUUCAGGUGACCCCAGCCGUGACCUUCAGGUGACCCCGCCCCGUCCGCCCACAACGAGAAAGGGAGGGAACGCUCAGGUGAGAAGAAAAAGCGGCGGGAAGCCAUAAAGGCGGGAAGCGACAGCGGCGUUCUGGGCUGCGAUUGGCUGGCGGGCAGCCCGAACAUCUAUAUAAGGUGCGCGGGCGGAGAAGUGAGAGAUGCGAUCUCUUCAGCGUGAGAAGAAACGGGAUGCUGGGAGGGAACGGCGGCAGCGAUCGACGACGACGACGAGCGGUCUCCAGAACUGACCUGAGCUAGUGUGAUCAGUCUGCCUGCCUCUGUGAUCCCCCGCAGCACUGGCUGGAAGUCCACCGCAUGUCAGUGAGGAGCUGCUGCAGAAGGAAGAAGAAGAAGCGGCGUGGGGACCUGGGAGGCAGGAGCAAGCAAGAAGAGGAAGCGGAAGCGUGCAGAUGCGGGGGGGAAGGAGAGAGGCUCCCUGGGCAAAGCACCUGUCCCGUUAGCAGGGGCACAGUCACGUUUGAGUUGAGAGCUGCCGGCGCCUUUGGUGACCAGGCUGGCGUUGUGCUGGGCGACCUCCCCGUAAGCGGGGCUCGGGUCUUUGCUGUAGUUGGCCUUUUGCCUUGCUGCUCCUUUGGCUGCCUGGGGAGCGUGGCCCCCUGUAACGGAGGGCGAGAGCCACCUCUCCGCACCUGAGUGGGAAAUGGAGCUCGCCGGACCCCAAGGCCACCCUGUAAGCAGGGUAGUGCCGUUUCCCUGCCCCUCUUCCUCCCCCGGCCCCUCGGCAUCGUUGCCUGAUGGUGGCUUGUCAAUGCGACGGCCCCGUACUCGGGGUGUGCGUCACGGCAUUUGGCCGUUGGCUUUACCUGAGAAGCCCCUUGGCACGUUGAGGUCUGUGGCCUCCGUGCAGCCUAGGGACAGGUCACAGGCUCUUGUCUGUUGCCCGUGGUUGUGGGUUUAUUCCCAGGUGUUGGCUGUGCUGCGUUGUCCUUCCCUUCUGGAAAGUCGUGCCUGUGUGUGCGUGUUCCCCUUCCUUUCCUUGAUUGUGUUUGUGGAGUGGUUGAGCGGCUGUGCUUUCCCUUUAGGCCUCCACAAAGAUGGCUGCAGCUUAGCUUUGACUUCCCAGGGGGGAAUGGAGGACUUUGGUGCAUGCCACAAAAGGGGUGUUCCCUCUUAGUCCUGCGAGCGCAGCGAGUGUCCUGUCUUCCUACUAUUUUCCUUAGUGCAGAUCAGAGCCACACGGUAGUUCUGUGGCCAAGGCCUCCCUGUAGCCAGGGCUUGGGCCUGUCCUUGCGUGGCCGCCUGUCCUGCUGGCGGCGGUGACAGCCCCGUACUCGGGGUGUGUGUCCCAAGCUUCGGAGCCCUCUGUCCCUGAGCAGCCCGCCCGCCCUGUAAUCAGGUGUGGGGAGGCUGCAGCGUUGCAGCCGGCUGCUUUAGCCAUCCAGCUGGUGGGAGUGACCCCUCCCUGUCCCGUCAGAGGGUGCAGGUUGAGGUGCUGUUUGUGUGUGGGGUGACCUCCCCGCUCGGUGGGUCGAGGUAGCUCCCUGGGCUUCCAAAGACGAGACGUUGGUGAUGUUCUGCUGCUGCCGGGCGGGCCAGCCUGUAACUCAGGCGUUGGCGGGAGCCUCGUGCUCCGCGGGGCUUCUUGAAGAGGGUGAGGUGUGGGGGUACCGUCCUGUAGGCAGGGCUGUGUGUGCCCCCUGUGUGUGCUUGGUGAGCUGCGUUCUGAGAGACCCCCUGUACUCAGGUGGGAAUGUGGCCCCGGCCUUUCAGAGGCGCGGGGCCGUGAGAUGUGGGGUGGGGCUUGCGCCCUCCCUGGAAUCGGGGCUGGGAUCCCGACUGCGGCCUUUGGCCGUGCCGCCCCGCUGCCUGGCUGCUGAGAGUUGCUCCUGCCGCUGGGGGGGAAACCGAGCUCUGUGGCUCCAGGGGUG